rnacentral:lncRNA from 1 species
GGAUUUGGCUCGAUAGUUUUAUUUGAUAAAGCUAUUGAUUUAAAUAUUUUAAAAUAUUAUAAAAAUUACUUUCUGCUGCAUGGUCGAAACCCAACACACAGCUCAUCUGGAAUGUUGUUUGACUGAAGGAUUGAAUUACACGGUAACUUGCCAUUGAAGGAUGUUUUGAUAAUUUUUUAUCAAAAUUUUAAAUCUUUUGGAUAGUUAUGACAUGUUGCUAGACGUUAAUCUAAACUUGUAGACUCAUAAAAAUUAAAAGAGUUUAAUUUUGAAAU